AGUUAAACCAUCGUAAUCGAAUAGUCGAGGAAAUAAAGCAAUGGACUGUCGAUUUUUUGAGCAGUAAGACGGAUUUUAAUGCGGUUUUUUGCAUUCGCUUCGUAAGAGCGCCUACAAACUUUGUGAACUAAAUUGAUUAAUUAAUUUUUUGAAAAUGCAUUAUGGCAUUAAUAAUAUGCAUUUUGCAAGUGCACUUCCA
rnacentral:lncRNA from 1 species